rnacentral:rRNA from 1 species
UACAGAGGGUGCAAGCGUUGUUCGGAAUUAUUGGGCGUAAAGCGCGUGUAGGCGGCCAGAAAAAGUUGGGUGUGAAAGCCCUCGGCUUAACCGAGGAAGUGCGCCCAAAAACUGUUUGGCUUGAGUACCGGAGAGGAUGGUGGAAUUCCCGGUGUAGAGGUGAAAUUCGUAGAUAUCGGGAGGAACACCAGUGGCGAAGGCGACCAUCUGGACGGAUACUGACGCUGAGACGCGAAAGCGUGGGUAGCAAACAGG